rnacentral:misc_RNA from 1 species
UAAGUGCGAUAAGUCAUGUGAAUUGUAGGUUCGCGAAACAUCGAAAAUUUGAACGCAAAGUGUACUGUAGAGCCUAAAAACUCUAUGGUGUCUCUACUCGAGCGCAAAAUACCAAUCUCAAAUCAGUUUGUGACUGAUUACAUUGAGGUCUAGUCUAAAUUUUAGUCUAUUCCUUUAAACGAUUCUCAAUCGAUUGUAGUAGUAGUAGCUGUAAAUGUUAGGUUGUAGACUGUUAAGCAGUCGAAGCACUACAAAAUAUACAGAGAACUUACUGCAAAACGAUUUUAAACUAUUUGCAUCGAGUUAGGGAAGGCUACCCUCUGAAUUUAA